UGGGGAAUCUUGCACAAUGGGGGAAACCCUGAUGCAGCGACGCCGCGUGAGCGAUGAAGCCCUUCGGGGUGUAAAGCUCUUUCGACGGGAACGAUAAUGACGGUACCCGAAGAAGAAGCUGCGGCUAACUACGUGCCAGCAGCCGCGGUAAUACGUAGGCAGCAAGCGUUGUUCGGAAUUACUGGGCGUAAAGAGUGUGUAGGCGGUGUUCUAAGUCUGUUGUGAAAUCUCCCGGCUCAACUGGGAGGGUGCGGCGGAGACUGGAAUGCUAGAGUAUGGGAGAGGUAAGCGGAAUUCCUGGUGUAGCGGUGAAAUGCGUAGAUAUCAGGAGGAACAUCUGUGGUGUAGACAGCUUACUGGACCAUGACUGACGCUGAGACACGAAAGCGUGGGUAGCAAACAGGAUUAGAUACCCUGGUAGUCCACGCCCUAAACGAUGCAUACUUGGUGUGAGCCAUUCAUUUGGUUCGUGCUGGAGCUAACGCGUUAAGUAUGCCGCCUGGGGAGUACGGUCGCAAGGCUG
rnacentral:rRNA from 1 species